rnacentral:lncRNA from 1 species
CCAACCCACACCCCUCUUCAAUCUAAAUCAACCGCUCUCUCCUCUCUCUCGACAACUUCUGUCAACUCUCUCCAAACCAACAUCUUACAAAAUUUCUCCCUUUAACCCCUGACGAAUUCUACCUCCGGUGAUAAAUAGUUGAGCUUCGAGUUCCCCUCUUCAAUUCAAAUCAACCUAUCUCUCAUCCCUCUCUCGACAGCUUCUCUCAACUCUCUCCCAACUAACUAUUUUGCAAAUUUCUCAUUUCAAUCCUCGGCAACUUCAACAUCUGACUAUAAAUAGUUGGGCUUCAAGUUUUUUUUCGACUUCAACCUUCAAUCGACGUGACAACCUUACUCUCUGGCCACAACAACUUCGAAUUCUUCCUCGUUCCUUUUAUUUUUUCACAGGUAAAAAUUUAUGGCCUUUUUAGUUUUGAAGAAAACGAGGAACUUGAGCUAACUUCUCUUAUAGUAUUGUUUAACAAUUUCAAUAUUUGUUGCAUUAAUUUGAAAUGAGGUCUGAAUAAAAUCCUAAUUUUUGGUAUUUCUUCUCUUCUCUUUUCGAAGUGAAUUAUGAUAUUUUGUUGUUUUUUACAUUUUUUUGAAGUUUGAUUUUUAUUAUUUGUGUUUAUAAAAACAAACAACAAUUUAGGUUGAUUUGUUCUGUUCUUGGUAAAAAUGCUGAAAUUGCUAUUUUUUUGUUGAACAAAAUAGUGCUACUGUUUUGGUUUCUUCUGACGGAUUACCCAUCUGGUGUAACAUAUUAACCAUCUGAUAUAAUAGAUUUUAUCAUAUGAUGCAACAGAUCAACCAUCUAAUGCACCAGAGGAACCAUCAGAUUACAAUUUUGAUACAAUAGAUUAAUCAUCUGAUGCAACAGAUUAACUAUCUGAUACAACAGGUUUACCAUAUGUUGCAACAGAUUAAGCAUCAGAUAAAAAGUCUAAUGCAACUAAUUAACCAUCUGGUGCAAUGGAAGAACCAUCAGACUAAUGAUCUGAUGCAAUAGAUUAACCUCCUAUUGGAUUAACUAUCUGAUGCAACAGAUUAAGCAUCAAAUAAAAAAUUUGAUGCAACUAAUUAACCAUCUAGUGCAAUGGAAAAACCAUCAAAUUAAUGAUCUGAUAAAAUAGAUGAACCUCCUGUUGGAUAAAAUCUUAUCAACUCUUCCAACAGAAAAUGUCCAAGAUUUGAUUUUUCCAACUGACCAUUCAUCUGCCAUGAUAGACGACCCUAUGUUGGAAGAAAUUUAAAUAAUAUUGACCUUUGAUAACUGUUCCAACAGAUAACUCAUGUGUUGCAACAAAUAUAUGACCCGUUGCACAGACCAUUCAUCUGUCUCAACAAAUGAGUGAUAUAUUUUGUAUUGUUGCAAUGGAUUACUCACUCGUUGCUACAGGUUAGUUAACUGCUCUGACAGAUCACUCAUAUAUUGCAAUAGAUGUGUGAUCUGUUGCACAAAUUAUUCAGCUUUCUCAACAAAUGAGUUUUAUGUUUUGUAUUGUCGCAACAGAUUACUCAGCCAUUACUAUGAAUUAUUUAACUGUUCUAACAGAUCACUUAUAUGUUGAAACAGAUGUCACAACAGAUGUGUGAUCUGUUGCAUAGAUUAUUUAUCUUUUUCAACAGAUGAGUGAUAUAUUUUAUAUUAUUGCAAUAGAUUACUCAGCCGUUGCUACAGGUUAUUUAACUAUUCCAACAGAUCACUCAUAUGUUACAACAGAUGAUUUUAUGACAGAUAUGUGAUCUGCUGCACAGACCAUUCAUUUUUCUCAACAAAUAAGUGAUUUAUUUUGUAUUGUCGAAAUAGAUUACUCAUCCGUUGUAACAGGUUAUUUAACUGUCCCAAUAUAUCACUCAUAUAUCAUAAUAAUAUGUGAUCUAUUGUACAAACCAUUCAUCUAUCUUAAAAGAUGGGUGAUAUAUUUUAUAUUGUUGCAACAGAUUACUCAUCCGCUGUAAUAAUUUGGUUAUAUGCUGCAACAAAUAUACUACCUGGUGCAACAGAUUGGUGAUCUAUUGCAACUGUUAUUUUACUGUUUUGCUUGUUUGAUUUACUGUUAUUCUUUUUUAAUGAUGCAUUAAUCAACUAUAAUAUAUUUUUUAUGUUCCUGUUAAUUUUAGAUAAUAUGGUUCCCAAAAGAACAAAAACCAAAUCAAGUCCAAGUAAAGGAAAAAGUGAAGCAGCUAGGCUAUAUCCACUACUCUAUGAGCUUGCUUUACAAACAUUAUCUCAAUCGGGAGCAGAAUCUGAUGAACACGGGGAGGAGGAAUAUUUCAAAAGAGAUGGUGCAAAUUCUAAUAACCCUUCCACCAAAGAGUUGGUCAAAGCCUUCAGCAUUGAUCAUUAUCCUAUGAGAAUGCAGUACGAUAGUGCCACAGAUUUAACAAGUGAUUUCGUGGUUAAGUCUGCCAUGGAAAAAUCUUUCGACGCCUUCAUAAAAAUACUCUGAAAACAAAAAUUGGAUGCUUAUUUCAGGGACAGCUGCUUUGGAAAAUAUCUUGAUUUGCCGGAGGACAACAAUGGUCGUUUUCAAAUGAAAAUGGUAUAUGAACUUGUCAAGCGUAGGUUUAUGAUAAAAACAAAGAUAAGAUGGAUGAGGUGUGGAUAAAUUACUGUGGCAUACCUAUUUGUUUUGGUUGGAAGGAGUUUGCCAUAGUUACUAGACUAAAAUGUUGUCCUCCUUCUCAAGUUAUACCUAUUCUAACCCAAAAAAGCACCUCGCAUACCUAAAAAAGGCAAAGGCAAGUCGUGUGAUCAUGAUGACCUGGUGUCCAUUAUUGGUCCAAGCUUCAAAAAUAAAAUUUGAUAUAAGCGUUGAAAGGUAAAGGACUUUCAAAGAAGCAUAAACAGUCAUUGUGCUUGGUUUGGUUUGUACAUAAUGUUCUUUGGGCGAGAGAUGUUAACAACAUAAGCCUCGGCUUAAUAAAGCUCUCCGAGGAUCUUGAGGCAUUUAAUAACUAUCCUUGGGGGUAUGGAAGCUUUAAAAUAACUGUCAAAUAUUUGUUGACUCCGUUAGCGCCAAAGAUAGUCAACUUAUAUGGCUUCCCAUGGGCUUUCAUGGUAAAUGUUUCUUUCUUCUAUUAUGAUAUCAUUCAUUUUUUUCACUCAAUAAUGGUUUUGAUUUAUUGGCGUUAUUUUAUAGGCUUAGGCGUUUGAAGCCAUUCCUUAUUUGAGACAACAAGUGAACUACCAGAAAAAAGUUUCCUGUCCAAGAAUCUUGAGAUGGUUGUCAGCCAAAACUGAUAAAAAUGCAAAAUUUCUUGAUCUCUUCAACCCCUCCGAUGGAUGCAGUAAGUAUAAUUAUAAUUAAUUUUUUCUUUUAAUUAAUGAUUUUUUUGAAUGAUCUAAUCAUCAUUCUAAUAUAUGUAAUGAUUUAUGUUAGAUUAUGUAUCCGUCACUAGUUUCGAUCAAUCAGGAGUUGAAGAUGCCAUUUUUUCUUACUUUACGGUCUGUGCAAACUUUAUCAGACCCUAAGGUCAUCGAUAGAAUAAAAAUAAAAUUAUUUAGAGCGACAACCAUUAUAAAAAAAAUAAUUUUGGAAGGUGGGCUUGUUGUUGUUGAUGGUCUUAGUGGUGAUGGAGCCGUUGGUGGUGGUAGUGGUGCUAUUGUUGGUGCUAAUGAUGCUUCUCUUACAGUAUUUAAAGCAAACCAUUAUAUGUAUGAUUAUACUGGUUAUACAGAUUUUGCCUCUCUCAGUGAAUGUUUUGCAUGCAAAUGUCAAGAUUGCAAGGCGAAACAUGAUGUAGUAAUUAAUCCUAUUAAUGCAAUAACUGCUUUUAUAAAGGAAUUGACAUCUAAGAAGGGUCUCAUUCCAACAAAGAGGAUUUUAUUUCCAUCCGCUCCAUUAGAGAUUAGGGCUAAGAGGAGAAGGAGAGUGAUUUUCAGGGCAUUAUCAAGCAUCCAAAAAAGCGAAAUUGCAACUCCUCUAUCUGUGUGUUGUACUAGAAAAUGUACAAUGUCCAAAGAAGAGCAGCAUGAGCUGAAGAAGGUGAAUAUAUAUGUCUUCGAACUGACAAAACAAAUAGACACAUAUCUGUUUCAACAGAUGGCACAUCUGCUAAAAAUUAUCAAAUAGAUAUAUACAUCUGUUGCAACAGUUGACUAACUUGUUGCACCAGAUAAAGUAUCUGGUGCAACAUGUCUUGUCUGUUUUAGCAAAUCAAACAGCUCUUCAUACCCCUUUUAUUUGUACUAACAUCGACCUAUCUGCUGCAACAUAUAAUUCAUAUAUUGCACCAGAUGGUUCAUUCGUUGGAAAUUAUCAUACAGGGUCUUCCUUAUGUAGAAAUUUAUCCCAACAGUUGAUUCAUUGUUGCAAUAGAAAUAUAAUCUGUUUGGGUCAAUUUAAAAUGGGAGAAAGACUUGUUUGAUUUGCUAGAAGAGAUGAGUUAUCCUUUUCUGUUUUGUUGUAUCUCCGUGAUUAGCAUUGACCAAUUUUGGUUUUCCAAGUGGAUGUAGAAGAAGCUACUGCUGAACAACAUUGACAAUAUGUUACUCUUUUUAUGGAAAUACGGAGAACAGAUGAAUCAAAAUUGCCAAUGAACCAAAUACUCCAUCUGUUGAAACUGAUGAAUCAGCUGUUAGAAGAUAACAAAACAUCUCCUCUAACAUGCUGUCCAUAUGUCGCAACAGAUAAUACAUAAGCCGCAUGAAAUGUCUUAUCUGUUGCAUAUACAAACCAUCUAUUGCAACAAAUGGUAAAUUUAUUUUUACAGACCAUCUAUUGCACAUUCAAUCCAUUUGUUGCAACAACUCAGUAAUAAUGGCUUUUAUCGAGUCUCAAAUUGGUAUGUAAAGGUGAGAAGUAAUUAAUGUAAAAUAAAAAGUCACGACUUUUCACAAAAAAUAAAAUGCCACCAGUUUGAAUGUAAUUAAUACAAUGGAGCUGAACAGUCCUGCCUUUUGGCCUGACACGUCCAGAUUCAAUCCUCUAUAAAUGGUCCCUUCUUAAUUUUCAUUCAACUCUAUUUAUUUCUUGCAUUUUUUUUCGUAUGACAUCUUCAACCACUUCUCUUCAAAGAGCAUAUUCCUUUCUUGUUGAGGUAAGUUUUUUUCUGGUGUAAAUUUCCCAGUUGGUCGUAUACGUUGUAUUAUAUUUUGAAUUUUUUUCUUUAUAUUUGUCAAUUCAUGCGUGUUCUAGAUAUGGCUGAUCCUUUUCCGAACAUUGAUAUUCUACGUGACAUCGUGCGGGAACUUCAGAGGAAGGUUAAUGACCUGUAGAGCGAGUUGGUCGCUGUGAGAGCGACGAUGUUCAGAGAGAUGCAGAGGCUGAUGAGAGCCCUGCUGGUGCGAGUUGAUUGGCCGGCUGUUAUUAAUGAUGAUGAUGAUGAUAAUAAUUAGAAUGUGUUUUUUAUUUUAGCGUAUGUAUUUUAAUUUUUCUAUAUCGGAUCUAUACCUAAUGUAUUUUAUUUUCCGUUUAAUAAAAAAUUUACUUUUAGUCAGACUUUGUCAUUUUAAUUCUUAUUUAAUUUUUAUUCUGUCUGUUUCUUCUAAUCUGAUACAUGUUAGCAUGUCGACGGUUGGAGGCAAUGUUGAAUCCAGU